rnacentral:misc_RNA from 1 species
CGAAGCACCGGAGCAGAGAAAGGUGAAGCUUACUUUGGCGCAAGUAGCGGCAUGGGAACAAAGCGUAAAGGACAAUCCACCCAAGCGCGUUAUAUGAAACGGCGCCAUCAUUGUGAUCCUGACCCUGCUGUUUAUCCUGGCGGUCUUCAUGGACCCAGGAAGACCGACGAAGGCGGCGGUCCAGUGUCGGCAAUCGCUACGCUGGCUUACUUGCUCGCGGUAUUUGCGCUCCUGGGAAAUAAAGCUUGCAAGCGAGAGAAUCUUUACGUAGAGUUUAGACGGUCAGAGAAACCAAAAAGAGAAAGGCAGAAAGUGAAAUCAAAAUCAAUGUCAGCGUUCAUAAAAGAGAACCGUGCGGAGCUGGAUCAAUGUAUCGCCCGCGCGCUAAAGAUGGAUCGCAAUCCCGCGCGAAUGACCAGGAACGUAGGCUAUGGGUCUUAAACGAUGAGAGCCUUUACAAUUGGGCGCGUUCCGAAGGCGUGAAGUGUUAGGCAAAUCAGAAACGAAAAGAGAAAGGCAAAUUAAAUGAAAUUAAAUCCCAUCGGCUCAAAUCAGACUGAAAUUGAAAAGGCAAACGGCGUCACCGUGUUUUACAGCUACUCAACCCCGGUCGCGGCUUUCAUCCCCGGCAAGGGGCGCAUUGUGCAGUUCCAAGAAGUAUUCAUGCACAACGAGCAGGCACGUCAACCAGGCAGUUGCCCGCUGGGGUGCCACCAGAACCGACGUUGAUCAGGGCGUCAUUGACCAGUACGCAGCAUGAUCCUCCUCGCACCAUAAGCCCGCUGCUGUUCUGGCGACGGGCUGUUAAAUCCAAGCCUAGCCUGCCGGAUGAGGCCGGCCAGCUCCGUGCUCUGCUGGAGUUCCGAGAGGCCAGAAUCCGCGAAGCUUUGUGGUACCUCGAUAACCACGCCCCGGGCCGCGCGCUCGAAUGCCUGCGAAGGGAGCCGGAACAAUGAUUUGCAGGGGUGCCAGGGUUCUGCGCCAGCGGGUUCCUCAUAUUCCCGCGCGGCCUUUCUCUCCCUGGUGCCCCUGCCUUCCCGAUAAACCGAAAGGACUGAAAAUGAAUCCACCAAAUGAAAUCUUAGUUGCGCUCGAAACCCUGGCCGCCUCGUUCCCUUGGGACGAAGUGUCAAUUUGGGCCGGCCGGACACCAGAGGACCCGACCCCGAAGUAUUCGGCUUACAUCCCGUCAAAUGAACUUUACCCGUGCAUUUUCGGGAAGGCAAGACAGCAAUGGAGGCGGUUGAAAAGGCCGUCAAGCAAGGUGCAGGGAGAAUCAGCCCAGAAGAUGCUCGCUUGCUGGCGAUCAAGGAGCUCCAGGACAAGAUCGCAAAGCUGGAAGCGGUGCGGUUUGAGAUUCCCCCCUAUAUCGCGAAUAGGGAACUGUCCCAAUUCGUGACAAAGAUAACCACCGUGGACGUGUAAGUGAGGGUUCGGUUUUCCUGAGAAAUUUCUUGCUUAUGCCUCUCCGGUCAUGGUAUCCGUUAGCAAUGCACCGAAAUGCACCGAAAUGCGUCAGGAAAGGACAAUAGAAAGCCAUGAGACCAGCGAGAAAGAACAGAGUUGUGGAACCGGUCAACUGCCUCAACUGCGGCGAAAAAUUCACACCCAAACGGAAGUGGGCAAAAUUCUGUGAUGCAACAUGCCGCUGGGACUAUUGGGACCGGGCGCAUCCCCGGGCAGGUGUUGGCGAAAAAGGGCAGCUAUUAUGACUGAGAUGGCUGAGAGAAUCCCAAGCAAGUUGCCAAGUUUCACUUUCGGAAAUUCUGGAGUGUGUGCUUAUUGUGGCAAUGACGCUGAUGGCCACGAUCAUGUUGUUCCGAUUGCAUGGCAGGAAUCUUACCGUGAUCAGAAAAGUCACUUGAAGGACGGCGGGCCGAUUACGUUUGCCUGCAAUGAGUGCAAUUCCAGGCUUUCCAAUCAUCACUUUGACACAUUUUGGGAGCGUUGCGAGUACUGCAAGCAUCACCUCGAAAAGCAUUGUUCUCCUAUCCAUUGGACGAAUAGGCAGAUUCAGGAACUUGAUUACACGCUCCGCUCGCUAAUUGCUUCUGAGGCGCUCAAACGCAGAGUCUUGCGCCAGCGGGCUGAUUGGUUUGAAAGCCGGGACUUCCUGCUCAACAUCGAAAAUCUUGCCUCCAACGAUUACCUUCUGAGAGGGUCUCCGCGGUUUAAUGUCUGGGCCUAUUCUUACUUUUACGAGGCUCUUUACCGAAUCAAUUUCAUUUACAGUCAAGCAUGGCGCACCAAGCCAUGUUUUUAACCCACCCAAAAAGAAAGGCGCAAAUGAACACGAUUGAAGCAGAAUCCGAAGUCCAGGCUUUAGCCAUCCGGCCAGAUCAGCCGGUCGCCCCGGUUGCCCCGGAGGCCAAGGCACAGAUCACCCCGGCUCAGGCCAAGGUUGAUGCCAUUGCAAGCCUCACGAUGUCGGCUUAUUCGAGAGCGGGCACCUUGGAAUUGACCCCGGAAGAAAGCGCCGCCUUGGCUGCCGACUUCCCAGAUGAGGCUUUCAAGCCGGGGGCAGGAGGCAAAGAAAUGCUCUUGUAUAUCGAGCACGCUUUCCUCCGGGACCGUUUCGCCCAGGUCUUCGGCAUGGGAAAAUGGGCAAUCGUGCCGCGAAACCGAUGGGCGGAAUCGUUCAAAACCAAGCCGUCCAGAGACUUCCCGCAAGGCCAGGAUGGCGAGAGGGUCUAUGUCGAGGCCAUGCUAAUAGCCCGAGGCUGCUUUAUCGGUGAGGCGGUGGGCGCCAUGGAAUACUAUCCGCACAACGCGAGCCAGAACUACGGGGAUGCUGUAGAAGGCGCGAAAACUGCCGCCUUCCGCCGCUGCGCAAAGGAAUUUGGCGUGGGACUCCAGGCUUGGAAAAAGGAUUGGUGCGAUGGCUGGUGGCAGCGGAAGCGGGCAGGAUUCAAGACGCCCCGGGCGCAGCAAGCACCGCAGCAAAAGCCCGAGCCGCCAAAGCCCGAGCCGGCCAAGGCAUUUGUGC